rnacentral:tRNA from 1 species
AAGACUUUAGUUAAAUUCAUAACAAAGAUUUGUCAAGCCUUAAUUACUAGUUACAGUAAGUCUUA